CAAAAAAUUCCCUGGAAUCGAUUAACUCUAGGUUCCAUAUCAUCAUGAAAAGUGGAAAGCAUGUGGUAAGGUUUCAGAAUUUCCCAAAGGCAGAGCCAUGUAGGAACUUCCCAGAACCCUUGAUGUCACAGGAUUUAGUGACAAAGAUUUUCUCCUGACCAAACUCCAACCAGGCUCCUCUGAACCGUUUUCUUGACGAGGCCUCAACCUUGGCUUGCAAAGACGUGAACAAAAUAUUAUCACAACAAAUUAAGGCUCUAUCCCUAGGAUGACCCUAGGUCCUCUUAAAGUACCUGCUUAAGGAAACUCAAGGCUGCCAAAGAAUUGACUGCUUCUUCCAGUCAACACCUGAAAUGGGACCCGUGUCUCCCAGCCUGUACUGGAAACCACGAACCAAGUCUGAUGAGCGC
rnacentral:lncRNA from 1 species